rnacentral:rRNA from 1 species
CAUCCCGAACACGGUAGUUAAGCUUCUCUGCGCCAAUGGUAGUUGGGGGCUUCCCCCUGCGAGAGUAGGUCGCUGCCAGGC